UACGGGGGGGGCAAGCGUUGUUCGGAAUUACAUGGGCGUAAAGGGCGCGUAGGCGGCCUGCUAAGUCGGAUGUGAAAUCCCUCGGCUCAACCGAGGAACUGCAUCCGAUACUGGCGGGCUUGAAUCCGGGAGAGGAUGUGGAAUUCCAGGUGUAGCGGUGAAAUGCGUAGAUAUCUGGAGGAACACCGGUGGCGAAGGCGGCGAUCCUGGACCGGUAUUGACGCUGAGGCGACGAAAGCUAGG
rnacentral:rRNA from 1 species